rnacentral:sRNA from 1 species
AUUUGAGAUGCGCCCGGUGAGACAGGAAACCUGAGAUCUGUGCUGAGUUGGAAAACACAGCCCGCGUCCCCCAAGCGUCCGACCCUGAUCUUCCAGGCCUGUCCUAGGGUCAGGGGCCCCUUUCUGAGGAUCCUCACCUGGAACUCCACUCGAAGUUUCCUCAGUAGAUGAGUCAGCUCUACCGCCCGGCAGCCCUGCACGAAGUGAACAUGGUCCUGCCGAACAUUUGUAGAGCAGCUAAGACAGUGCAGUAUUGACGUCGCUUACCUCUAGAGGGUGUUGUGACUUCAGGGGACGAUCAAUAUAAGCCACCACCUCCAGCUUCCCGAAGUAACUGGGACUCACUCAACCAAGCGUCCCAGGCCACCACGCAGGGCAAGAUCUUCUAGUGGAUCUGUUGGACCUUGCUGGAUGGAGAAGAAGGGAAAAUAGAGUUUGCUGCGUCUGCCACCCCCACUCUAGUGGAGGAAGCUUGGCUCACUGUGGGUGCUAGUGAGAGUGGAAACCAUUCCCAUCAUCCUUUGCUGAGCACACAGCUGAAGUCCUGUCACAGAAGACAGCUUAACGGCUUAAUGAGCAGGAUUCAGAGCAUCCUGGUGGAAAAACCAACCUUCCUUCCUUUUUUUCUGGCAAGACCAGAGAUGGAAGCUAGUGUCUUGCACAUGCGCAGAAAGCUAUUCAUGCAGAGAAAGAUGUUUAUGAAGUCGGAGGCUUCUUUUUUCCCCAAGCAGCAAAUUCUAAGUUAAUGAGCUUGCCUGGGUGGAGCGCUGGAGUCAGGAGAAAGACCCGGCCACCAGCAGAGGUCCUGGAUUUCCUGUUUGUGUUCUCCCCAGUGGCUUGCCUAGCCAGCUGCAGGAGCUGCAAGCUUCCAGGAAACCUGCAUUUCCGCCCAGCUGCUGACGCAUGGGGACAGGCAGGCAGAAAGGAAUCUGGGCGUCCCCCAGCCACUCCCUCUGCGGGCCGGCUGAGCCACUGUAACCCACCGAUUAAGGGCCUGCUUUCUCUAGGUAGCCCAGAGCGGAGACAGUGUCAAUGCUCCUGUUUCAGAACAGAGACCGGUCUGACAUCACACAGAGGAACCGUGGUGCUUUCUCCGCUGUGUUCUAUGGGACACUAUGGCCCAGUGUGGAAACCCUUUACAUGCACAGCCUAGUGGUCCCCUGCUCUGUAUAUCCUACUGACUAAAACGGUUAUUAUCUCAAAGGGAGUAAGCAUUUCAUCUGGAGCCAAAUUUGAGUGACGCCAAUGUGGUAUGGUUGCAUGAAGUUUUUAGUGACAGAACAAAGAAAGUCAGAAGUCAACUUCUCAAAUACAAUGGUGGGGACAUCAAUCAGGCAGGCAAGUUCCACAAAGGUGGGUAAUCAUUGCUUAGACCUCCGAUGCUAUCUGAUGACAUUCUUAGCUUAUAGGUUACACUCGAAGGUCUCUGGGAUAGUCAUAAAAAGAGGGCGAUGAAUGGCUAUCAGGGGGUAAGAGAUAGCACCAGAUAAUUUGGCUCUGGAUCUGCAACAUUCCAACCUCUUCCCAGUGACUCAGCCUUACAGAUACAGUGUCUUUUCUGGACCUUCGGUUCACACCUGCUUGACAGAAGCACGGCUGCUGGUGUCCCAGGCUGGCACCCCAGUUCUUCAAAUGCCUGUGUUAUCAAAGAACCUCCACCUGGUAGACCUCUGCCUUCGUUAAGUUUCUCUUGCUGUGAUAAACAUCAUGACUAAAAGCAAUUUGGGGAGGGAAAGGUUUACUUCAGCUCACAUAUCCUGAUCACAAUCCGUCAGGAGGUCAGAGCUGGAACCCAAGGCAGAAACUGAUGCGGACACCACGAAGGAAGCUGCUUACUGGCUUGCUC